AACGCACCUUGCGCUCCUUGGUAUUCCGAGGAGCAUGCCUGUUUGAGUGUCAUUAAAUUCUCAAUCUCUACAACUUUGUGUUGUCUAGAUCGGAAGUGGGGGUUUGUUGUGUGGAAUCUAAUUCCUCACUCCCCUUAAAUGCAUUAGCUGGAAUGCCUCUGCAUAUCUGACUAUCAGUGUGAUAAUUAUCUAUGCUGUAGUUGUUGCAUGAGGGUAUCUGCUUCAUAAAUCGUCGCAAGACAAUUCUAUAUGACCAUCUUGACCUCAAAUCAGGUAGGACUACCCGCUGAACUUAA
rnacentral:misc_RNA from 1 species